GUGGGGAAUAUUGGACAAUGGGCGAAAGCCUGAUCCAGCCAUGCCGCGUGUGUGAAGAAGGUCUUCGGAUUGUAAAGCACUUUAAGUUGGGAGGAAGGGCAGUAAGCUAAUACCUUGCUGUUUUGACGUUACCAACAGAAUAAGCACCGGCUAACUUCGUGCCAGCAGCCGCGGUAAUACGAAGGGUGCAAGCGUUAAUCGGAAUUACUGGGCGUAAAGCGCGCGUAGGUGGUUCGUUAAGUUGGAUGUGAAAGCCCCGGGCUCAACCUGGGAACUGCAUCCAAAACUGGCGAGCUAGAGUAUGGCAGAGGGUGGUGGAAUUUCCUGUGUAGCGGUGAAAUGCGUAGAUAUAGGAAGGAACACCAGUGGCUAAGGCGACCACCUGGGCUAAUACUGACACUGAGGUGCGAAAGCGUGGGGAGCAAACAGGAUUAGAAACCCCGGUAGUCC
rnacentral:rRNA from 1 species